AUUGAACGCUAGCGGGAUGCCUUACACAUGCAAGUCGAACGGAGUGGCGAACGGGUGAGUAAUGUAUCGGAACGUGCCCAGUAGCGGGGGAUAACUACGCGAAAGUGAAGCUAAUACCGCAUACUAUUGGAGCGGCCGAUAUUGGAUUAGCUAGUUGGUGGGGUAACGGCUCACCAAGGCGACGAUCCAUAGCAGGUUUGAGAGGACGACCAGCCACACUGGGACUGAGAAACGGCCCAGACUCCUACGGGAGGCAGCAGGGGGGAAUUUUGGACAAUGGGGGAAGCCCUGAUCCAGCCAGCCCGCGUGAGCGAUGAAGGCCUUCGGAUUGUAAAACACUUUUGGCAGGAAAGCGGUACCUACAGAAAAAGCACCGGCUAACUACGUGCCAGCAGCCGCGGUAAUUC
rnacentral:rRNA from 1 species